GCUUGAUAGGUAUGAUUUGUUAAUUUUAGUUGUAGUGAGUUAGGAGAUUAAAUCUAUUUUGUUGGGGCGACAAAGGAAUCAAUUAACUUUCUUUAAUAUAACCACGUAUAGGUGAAAUUAGGAUCCAUUAUUUAUGAUUAAAAGAUUAAGU
rnacentral:rRNA from 1 species